GAUGAACGCUGGCGGCGUGCCUAAUACAUGCAAGUCGAGCGAACAGACGAGGAGCUUGCUCCUCUGACGUUAGCGGCGGACGGGUGAGUAACACGUGGAUAACCUACCUAUAAGACUGGGAUAACUUCGGGAAACCGGAGCUAAUACCGGAUAAUAUAUUGAACCGCAUGGUUCAAUAGUGAAAGACGGUUUUGCUGUCACUUAUAGAUGGAUCCGCGCCGCAUUAGCUAGUUGGUAAGGUAACGGCUUACCAAGGCAACGAUGCGUAGCCGACCUGAGAGGGUGGUCGGCCACACUGUAACUGAGACACGGUCCAGACUCCUACGGGAGGCAGCAGUAGGGAAUCUUCCGCAAUGGGCGAAAGCUUGACGGAGCAACGCCGCGUGAGUGAUGAAGGUCUUCGGAUCGUAAAACUCUGUUAUUAGUGAAGAACAAAUGUGUAAGUAACUAUGCACGUCUUGACGGUACCUAGUCAGAAAGCCACGGCUAACUACGUG
rnacentral:rRNA from 1 species